ACCUGACUGGCUCAGUUGGUAGGGUGUGCUACUGCUGAUCUCAAGAGUUGUGAGUUCAAGCCCCACGUUGGGUG
rnacentral:tRNA from 1 species